rnacentral:rRNA from 1 species
GAAUUUAAGCAUAUUAAUAAGCGGAGGAAAAGAAACUAACAAGGAUUCCCUCAGUAACGGCGAGUGAAGCGGGAAGAGCUCAAAUUUGAAAUCUCCGAUGCCUGCAUCGGCGAGUUGUAGUUGCGAGAAGCACUUUCUAGGCGGAUCGGCGGUGCCUAAGUUGCUUGGAACAGCACGUCGCAGAGGGUGACAACCCCGUCUGUGGCGCCGCCGGCCGCUGACGAUGCGCUUUCGAAGAGUCGGGUUGUUUGGGAAUGCAGCCCAAAAUGGGUGGUAAACUCCAUCUAAAGCUAAAUACUGGCGUGAGACCGAUAGCGAACAAGUACCGUGAGGGAAAGAUGAAAAGAACUUUGAAAAGAGAGUUAAAAAGUACGUGAAACCGUCGGAAGGGAAACGAAUGGACUCAGCAAUGCGCCCUCUGAGAUUCAGCCGGUGGGUGUGGUCGGCGCGGGGUUUGCGGAUCUGAAUGGACCGCGGCCCGGCGCUCGGCGCUCCCCCGCCGUCGCACUUCUCUGGGGCGCGCGUCAACGUGGGUUGGGACUGGGUCUGAAAGGUGCCGGGAAGGUAGGUGUGGGCCUUCGGGUCCGUUCUGUUACAGCCCGGUUCUCUCGUGGCUCGGGCCCGACCGAGGAGGAAGGGCAUGCCUCCUGUGGCUAGGGUCCCGUCCUUCCGGCCGGCUGUCCAGUGCGGUGGACUGCUUGCAGUGCUCCGCGACGGCUGCCGGUCGUUGGGGUGGUGAUCUCGUACCAUGC